rnacentral:rRNA from 1 species
UACGAAGGGGGCAAGCGUUGUUCGGAAUUACUGGGCGUAAAGGGCGCGUAGGCGGUGCACUAAGUCAGGCGUGAAAGCCCUGGGCUCAACCCGGGAAUUGCGCUUGAUACUGGUGCGCUCGAAUCCAGGAGAGGUUGGUGGAAUUCCCAGUGUAGAGGUGAAAUUCGUAGAGAUUGGGAAGAACACCAGUGGCGAAGGCGGCUCACUGGCCCGGUACUGACGCUGAGGCACGAAAGCGUGGGGAGCAAACAGG